rnacentral:rRNA from 1 species
GACGAACGCUGGCGGCGUGCUUAACACAUGCAAGUCGAACGAAGUGGCGAACGGGUGAGUAACGCGUAAUCAACCUGCCCUUCAGCGGGGGACAACAGGUGGAAACGACUGCUAAUACCGCAUACUGUAGGAGGGGAUUGCGUCUGAUUAGCCAGUUGGAGGGGUAACGGCCCACCAAGGCGAUGGUCAGUAGCCGGACUGGGAGGGUGAACGGUCACAAUGGGACUGGGACACGGCCCAAACUCCUUAGGGAGGCAGCAGUUGGGAAUCUUCCGGAAAGGGCGAAAGGCUGGCGGAGCAACGCCGCGUGAGGUGUGACGGCCUUCGGGUUGGUAAGCUCUGGUAAUCGGGGCGCGGUACCGGAAUAGAAAGCCACGGCUAACUACGUGCCAGCCGCCGCGGUAAUUC